GACGAACGCUGGCGGCGUGCUUAACACAUGCAAGUCGAACGGAAAGGCCCUGCUUUUGUUGGGUGCUCGAGUGGCUAACGGGUGAGUAACACGUGGGUAACCUUCCCUUGACUGUGUGAUAACUGCAGGAAACUGGGGCUAAUACCGGAUAGGAGCUCCUGCUGCAUGGUGUGGGUUGGAAAUUUUCGGCGGUUGGGGAUGGACUCGCGGCUUAUCAGCUUGUUGGUGGGGUAGUGGCUUACCAAGGCUUUGACGGGUAGCCGGCCUGAGAGGGUGACAGGCCCCAUUGGGCUUGAGAUAGCGCCCAGACUCCUACGGGAGGCAGCAGUGGGGAACAUUGCACAAUGGGCGGCAGCCUGAUGCAGCAACGCCGCGUGCGGGAUGACGGUCUUCGGGUUGUAACCCGCUUUCGCCUGUGACGAAGAGUGAGUGACGGUAAUGGGUAAAGAAGCACCGGCUAACUACGUG
rnacentral:rRNA from 1 species